rnacentral:rRNA from 1 species
UACGGAGGUUGCAAGCGUUGUUCGGAUUUACUGGGCGUAAAGGGAGCGCAGGCGGUUUGGUCAGUCUGAAGUGAAAUCCCGGGGCUCAACCCCGGAUGGCUUUGGAUACUGCCAGACUUGAGUUCGUGAGAGGCGAGUGGAAUUCCAGGUGUAGCGGUGAAAUGCGUAGAUAUCUGGAGGAACACCAGUGGCGAAAGCGGCUCGCUGGCACGAUACUGACGCUCAUGCUCGAAAGCGUGGGGAGC